rnacentral:lncRNA from 1 species
CUUUUCUGCUUGUUUCCUCCAAGAUCGACAACCUGUUUCCCUUUCAUGGUAUCAGUAUUGGGGUGUUGGUCACACAACAGCAGUGUUUGGAUAUAUCUAGUCAGAAAUCUCCUCGAAGCUUCAAUGGCUGUCCCAGGUUUUUCAUGAGUAAUUUCAUUGUGGACAUACCAUACACGCCAGAGGGUCAUGAGAGUAACCAUAGCCUGCAGGUCGUUCAUUUUUAUCAAGGGCCGUUAGAAGCCAUUCAGGUUCAUUUCGUAGAAAAAUCUCCAAAUCAGGGAUUGGCCAGUCAUCACGCAUGGCAGUCCAGAACGAUCUGGAAUGAGGACAUCUAACAAGGGCGUGGAAACAGUUUUAAUCUUCGCAGCCACAAAUAGGACAUAUAGGCAGUGUAUCAAUGUUUCUGUGUUUGAGGUUCACCUUUGUAGACAGAGCGUUUCGAGCAACUUUCCAAGCGAAGAUCUGAACUUUAUGUGGAACAUUAGCCUUCUAAAUCUUUUUCCAAAUGGGCCUCCGGCCGUCAGGCAAGUUACUUGCAGCACCUACGUUC